UACAGAGGGUGCGAGCGUUAAUCGGAAUUACUGGGCGUAAAGCGCACGUAGGCAGCUUGGUAUGUCGGGUGUGAAAUCCCCGGGCUCAACCUGGGAACUGCAUCCGAAACUGCCUUGCUAGAGUAUGGGAGAGGGAAGUGGAAUUUCCGGUGUAGCGGUGAAAUGCGUAGAUAUCGGAAGGAACAUCAGUGGCGAAGGCGACUUCCUGGACCAAUACUGACGCUCAGGUGCGAAAGCGUGGGGAGCAAACAGG
rnacentral:rRNA from 1 species